rnacentral:rRNA from 1 species
UGCAAGUCGAACGGUAACAGGUCUUCGGACGCUGACGAGUGGCGAACGGGUGAGUAAUACAUCGGAACGUGCCCAGUCGUGGGGGAUAACUACUCGAAAGAGUAGCUAAUACCGCAUACGAUCUGAGGAUGAAAGCGGGGGACCUUCGGGCCUCGCGCGAUUGGAGCGGCCGAUGGCAGAUUAGGUAGUUGGUGGGAUAAAAGCUUACCAAGCCGACGAUCUGUAGCUGGUCUGAGAGGACGACCAGCCACACUGGGACUGAGACACGGCCCAGACUCCUACGGGAGGCAGCAGUGGGGAAUUUUGGACAAUGGGCGAAAGCCUGAUCCAGCAAUGCCGCGUGCAGGAUGAAGGCCUUCGGGUUGUAAACUGCUUUUGUACGGAACGAAAAAGCUCCUUCUAAUACAGGGGGCCCAUGACGGUACCGUAAGAAUAAGCACCGGCUAACUACGUGCCAGCAGCCGCGGUAAUACGUAGGGUGCGAGCGUUAAUCGGAAUUACUGGGCGUAAAGCGUGCGCAGGCGGUUAUGUAAGACAGAUGUGAAAUCCCCGGGCUCAACCUGGGAACUGCAUUUGUGACUGCAUGGCUAGAGUACGGUAGAGGGGGAUGGAAUUCCGCGUGUAGCAGUGAAAUGCGUAGAUAUGCGGAGGAACACCGAUGGCGAAGGCAAUCCCCUGGACCUGUACUGACGCUCAUGCACGAAAGCGUGGGGAGCAAACAGGAUUAGAUACCCUG